UACGUAGGGUGCAAGCGUUAAUCGGAAUUACUGGGCGUAAAGCGUGCGCAGGCGGUUUUGUAAGUCUGUCGUGAAAUCCCCGGGCUCAACCUGGGAAUUGCAUUUGUGACUGCACUGCUAGAGUGUGUCAGAGGGGGGUAGAAUUCCACGUGUAGCAGUGAAAUGCGUAGAGAUGUGGAGGAAUACCGAUGGCGAAGGCAGCCCCCUGGGAUAACACUGACGCUCAUGCACGAAAGCGUGGGGAGCAAACAGG
rnacentral:rRNA from 1 species